CAUGCCUUACACAUGCAAGUCGAACGGUAACAGGUUAAGCUGACGAGUGGCGAACGGGUGAGUAAUAUAUCGGAACGUGCCCAGUUGUGGGGGAUAACUACCCGAAAGAGUGGCUAAUACCGCAUGAGACCUGAGGGUGAAAGCGGGGGAUCGCAAGACCUCGCGCAAUUGGAGCGGCCGAUAUCAGAUUAGCUAGUUGGCGGGGUAAAAGCCCACCAAGGCGACGAUCUGUAGCUGGUCUGAGAGGACGACCAGCCACACUGGGGCUGAGACACGGCCCAGACUCCUACGGGAGGCAGCAGUGGGGAAUUUUGGACAAUGGACGCAAGUCUGAUCCAGCCAUGCCGCGUGCGGGAAGAAGGCCUUCGGGUUGUAAACCGCUUUUGUCAGGGAAGAAACGGGUUUCUCUAAUACAGAGACCUAAUGACGGUACCUGAAGAAUAAGCACCGGCUAACUCCGUGCCAGCAGCCGCGGUAAUACGGAGGGUGCGAGCGUUAAUCGGAAUUACUGGGCGUAAAGCGUGCGUAGGCGGUUCGUUAAGUCAGAUGUGAAAGCCCUGGGCUCAACCUGGGAACUGCAUUUGAAACUGGCGGACUAGAGUUUAGUAGAGGGGAGUGGAAUUUCAGUGUAGCGGUGAAAUGCGUAGAUAUCUGAAGGAACACCAGUGGCGAAGCGACUCUCUGGACUAGAACUGACGCUGAGUACGAAGCGUGGGUAGCAACAGGAUUAGAUACCCUGGUAGUUCCACGCCGUAAACGAUGUC
rnacentral:rRNA from 1 species